rnacentral:rRNA from 1 species
GAUGAACGCUAGCGGCAGGCUUAAUUACAUGCAAGUCGUGGGGCAGCGCAGUGUAGCAAUACAUGGGCGGCGACCGGCAAAACGGGUGCGGAACACGUACACAACCUUCCUUCAAAUGGGGAAUAGCCCAGGGAAACUUGGAUUAAUACCCCGUAACAUUAUGAGGUGGCAUCACUUUAUAAUUAUAGCUCCGGCGUUUGGAGAUGGGUGUGCGGCUGAUUAGGUAGUUGGUAAGGUAACGGCUUACCAAGCCUUCGAUCAGUAACUGGUGUGAGAGCACGACCAGUCACACGGGCACUGAGACACGGGCCCGACUCCUACGGGAGGCAGCAGUAAGGAAUAUUGGGCAAUGGACGCAAGUCUGACCCAGCCAUGCCGCGUGGAGGAUGAAGGUCCUCUGGAUUGUAAAACUUCUUUUCUCUGGGCGGAAAAUAGGUAUUCUUACUUACUUGACAGUACCAGAGGAAUAAG